rnacentral:rRNA from 1 species
GUGACUGUGGCGAGGGGGAAACACCCGUUCCCAUUCCGAACACGGCAGUUAAGCCCCUCAGCGCCGAUGGUACUGCUUGCGCAAGUGGGUGGGAGAGUAGGUCGUUGCC